AACGGCUACCACAUCCAAGGAUGGCAGCAGGCGCGCAAAUUACCCAAUCCCGACACGGGGAGGUAGUGACAAUAAAUAACAAUACGGGGUUCUUUAGNAUCUCGUAAUUGGAAUGAGUACAAUUUAAAUCUCUUAACGAGGAACAAUUGGAGGGCAAGUCUGGUGCCAGCAGCCGCGGUAAUUCCAGCUCCAAUAGCGUAUAUUAAAGUUGUUGCAGUUAAAAAGCUCGUAGUUGAAUUUCGGGGUUAGUAGGUUGGUCAUGCCUCUGGUAUGUACUGGUCUCACUGAUUCCUCCUUCCUUAUGAACCGUAAUGCCAUUAAUUUGGUGUUGCGGGGAAUUUGGACUGUUACUUUGAAAAAAUUAGAGUGUUUAAAGCAAGCUAACGCUUGAAUACAUUAGCAUGGAAUAAUGAAAUAGGACGUUCGAUCUUAUUUUGUUGGUUUCUAGGAUUGACGUAAUGAUUAAUAGGGAUAGUUGGGGGCAUUAGUAUUCAAUUGUCAGAGGUGAAAUUCUUGGAUUUAUUGAAGACUAACUACUGCGAAAGCAUUUGCCAAGGAUGUUUUCAUUAAUCAAGAACGAAAGUUAGGGGAUCGANNNNNAUCAGAUACCGUCGUAGUCUUAACCAUAAACUAUGCCGACUAGGGAUCGGAUGAUGUUAAUUUUUUAAUGACUCAUUCGGCGCCUUACGGGNAACCAAA
rnacentral:rRNA from 1 species